rnacentral:rRNA from 1 species
AUGGUUAAGCUAAGAAGAGCGUAGGGAGAAUGCCUUGGCAUUAGGAGCCGAUGAAGGACGUGAUAAGCUGCGAUAAGCUGCGGGGAUCAGCAAGUAUGAAUUGAUCCGCAGAUUUCCGAAUGGAGCAAUCCGUAUGUGUAUGCACAUACAUCAUAUACUGAAUCAAAUAGGUAUAUGAGGGGAACCGCCUGAACUGAAACAUCUAAGUAGGGCGAGGAAGAGAAAUCAACCGAGAUUCUGUGAGUAGUGGCGAGCGAAAGCGGAAGAGGCUAAACCAUAGGUAGCAAUACUUAUGGGGUUUCGGACAGCAUUUAGCAUUGAUAAUUUCUAGUUGAAACGUGUGGGAAAACGUACCGAAGAGUGUGAGAGUCACGUAAGCGAAAGAGAGAAUCAGCGAGCUGUAUCCAAAGUACCGCGGGACACGUGAAACCCCGUGGGAAGAUGGGGGGACCAUCCUCCAAGCCUAAAUACUACCUAAUGACCGAUAGCGAAUAGUACUGUGAAGGAACGGUGAAAAGAACCCCGGGAGGGGAGUGAAAAAGAACCUGAAACCCUAUGCUUACAAGCACCGAGAGCACGUCAAAGUGUGAUCGGGUACCUUUUGUAGAAUGGUCCGGCGAGUUAUUGUAUGCGGCAAGGUUAAGUGCUUAAGGCACGGAGCCGAAGCGAGAGCAAGUCUGAACAGGGCGAGUAAGUCGUAUGCAAUAGACCCGAAACCGAGUGACCUAUCCAUGUCCAGGCUGAAGUGGAGGUAAAACUCCAUGGAGGGCCGAACACACGUCCGUUGAAAAGGCCGGUGAUGAGGUGUGGAUAGCGGAGAAAUUCCAAUCGAACUCGGAUAUAGCUGGUUCUCUCCGAAAUAGCUUUAGGGCUAGCCUCGUGAAAGAUUACUGGAGGUAAAGCACUGAAUGGGCUAGGGGUCGAAAGAUUACUGAACCCUAUCAAACUAAGAAUGCCAGAUAAUUGAUUCACGGGAGUCAGACAAUGUGAGAUAAGUCUCAUUGUCAAAAGGGAAACAGCCCAGACCCACAGCUAAGGUCCCUAAACAUUGUUAAGUGGAAAAGGAUGUGGGGUUGCAUAAACAACCAGGAUGUUGGCUUAGAAGCAGCCACUCAUUAAAAGAGUGCGUAAUAGCUCACUGGUCGAGUGACCCUGCGCCGAAAAUUCAACGGGGCUAAACAAUGUACCGAAGCUUGGGAUUCUAAAGUAAUUUAGAGUGGUAGGAGAGCGUCGAAUAAGGGGUGAAGUCAGAGCGGAAGCGCUGGUGGACUUUAUUCGAGUGAGAAUGCCGGAAUGAGUAGCGAGAAUUAUGUGAGAAUCAUAAUGGCCGAAAAUCUAAGGUUUCCUGAGGAAGGUUCGUCCGCUCAGGGUAAGCCGGGGGCUAAGGCGAGGCGGAGACGCGUAGCCGAUGCACAUACGGUUGAAAUUCCGUAGCCACCGAAAGAUUUAAGUACAGGGACGCUUUAGAAGUGAUGUUGCCGGGCGAUGGUUGACCCGGUCGUAAGGGAUCGAAAAUGAGUAGAGAAGUCAUCAUGGAAAGAGACAAGAAAAGCUGUAUGAAUAUCUUAGGUGCCCGUACCGCAAACCGACACAGGUAGAUAGGAAGAAGAUUCUAAGGCCAACGGGAGAAGGGUUGUUAAGGAACUCGGCAAGUUGACCCCGUAACUUAGGGAUAAGGGGUGCUCAAGUGAUUGAGCCGCAGAGAAUAGGCCCAGGCGACUGUUUAGCAAAAACACAGGUCUCUGCUAAAUCGAAAGAUGACGUAUAGGGGCUGACACCUGCCCGGUGCCGGAAGGUUAAGAGGAGAUGUGAGAGCAUUGAAUUGAAGCCCCGGUAAACGGCGGCCGUAACUAUAACGGUCCUAAGGUAGCGAAAUUCCUUGUCAGGUAAGUUCUGACCCGCACGAAAGGUGUAACGAUCUGGGCACUGUCUCAACAACCCGCCCGGCGAAAUUGUAGUACCGGUGAAGAUGCCGGUUACCCGCGACUAGACGGAAAGACCCCAUGGAGCUUUACUGUAGCCUAAUAUUGGAUUUCGGUAUUUCACGUACAGGAUAGGUGGGAGACUGGGAAGCACAGGCGUCAGCUUGUGUGGAGUCGACCUUGGGAUACCACUCUUGGAGUGCUGGAAUUCUAACCUGCGGCUUUGAAGCAAGUCGGGGGACAUUGUUAGGUGGGCAGUUUGACUGGGGCGGUCGCCUCCUAAAGAGUAACGGAGGCGCUCAAAGGUUCGCUCUGCAUGGAUGGAAACCAUGCGUCAGAGUGUAAACGCAAAAGCGAGCCUAACUGCGAGAAUGACGGUUCGAGCAGUAACGAAAGUUGGAGUUAGUGAUCCGGCGGUAUGUGAAUGGAAAUGCCGUCGCUCAACGGAUAAAAGCUACCCUGGGGAUAACAGGCUGAUCUCCCCCAAGAGUCCACAUCGACGGGGAGGUUUGGCACCUCGAUGUCGGCUCAUCGCAUCCUGGGGCUGAAUUCGGUCCCAAGGGUUUGGCUGUUCGCCAAUUAAAGCGGUACGCGAGCUGGGUUCAGAACGUCGUGAGACAGUUCGGUCCCUAUCUGUCGUGGGCGUAGGAUAUUUGCAAGGAGCUGUCCCUAGUACGAGAGGACCGGGAUGGACGCACCUCUGGUGCACCAGUUGUCACGCCAGUGGCACAGCUGGGCAGCUAUGUGCGGAACGGAUAAACGCUGAAGGCAUCUAAGCGUGAAGCCGCCCUUAAGAUAAGAUAUCCCUUCUGUUUACAGAGUAAGACCCCUUGAAGACUACAAGGUUGAUAGGCUCAAAGUGUAAGCACGGUGACGUGUUUAGCUAGCGAGUACUAAUCGGUCGAGGGCUUAACCUUA